AUUAGACAAUUCUGCCUUUGUUUAAGUAUUUAUCUUUAUCAGUGAUUUUUAUAUGUUCAUAUGAUUUACAUUGUUAAUUACUGUCCUUUCAUUUCAGCUUGAAGAGCUCCCUUUAGUGUUUCUUGUAAGACAGGUCUAGUGGUAAUGAAUUCCCUAAAUUUUUGUUUAUCAAGCUUUUAUUCAUUCUGUUCUCUUCACCUACAAAGCACCAAAAUUUGUGGCAACAUUUUUAAGGAUAAUAAUUUUAUGGAUAAUAAUUUUCAUUAUUACAGAGCAGCAAUGGACCUCAGGGAUUAUUUUAAAGAUGAGGCCUGGAGUAAAGUGAUUCAGAAUCAUAAUGCUAAAAUGGAAAGGGUCUAUCCUCUUUCUCAACUUUUCUACAGCAUUUUCAAUAAAAGUUGACUGGUCUUGAUGAGUUUCCCUCCAGAGACAGAGAGCUUAACAAUCUUCAGAGGCAAUCUUUCUAUCACGGAGAGCUGGACCAUUAGAAAGUUCUUCCUCAAUCAGCUAAAAUCUUUCUCCCUUUAGCUUCCUCUCUAUGUUUUUCAGUUUUAUCCUUGGUGAGAAAUAGCAGAGCCAGAUGCUGGAUGGACCCAGAGUGGGAAGACUCCUGAGAGAGGGACAGCCAAGUUUGACACAAAUACCAACAAUCCCAGGGGACAUCUAUGGGUCUAACAGGUCUGGUCUUGAGCCCAUUGGACUUACUGGAGUUAAACAAAAAGCUGGGAGAUGUUCCUGCCAAAGCUGCCAAGGGUCUGAUGGAAGGGGGCCUGGCCCGGGAAGGCUCCCCGAAGUUGCUCUGAGCGAUCCUGGAUGCUGCAUGGCUUCAGUCCCUGAGGCCUCCCUGGCCACUAAGAGGAAACAAACCACUGCCAGAGGCCACCAGCUGUUUCCAGGCUCCUCUGCUAUUUUCCAUAGCCCCUGCUACCGGCCCUUUGUACUGGUGUGA
rnacentral:lncRNA from 1 species